GCAAACUUGGUCAUUUAGAGGAAGUAAAAGUCGUAACAAGGUUUCCGUAGGUGAACCUGCGGAAGGAUCAUUAACUAGUGCACACUGUGCGUCAACCUGUGCAUUUCUUUCUUUUCCUGGUUUUGCUGGUGGCACUGCAAGCAGUGCCUACUACGACAAACAAAGUGAACUCGCUAGCUGUCCAGCGGAUUGCUGGAGGCAGCCCUUAGGGGUAGGGUUAGGGUUUGUUGUGGGACAGCAAAGACCAGCAAAGAGGGAUGGUAAAGAUAUAGAGUCUUAUAGCGAGUAAAUAUACAACUUUUAGCAAUGGAUCUCUAGGCUCCUGCAUCGAUGAAGAACGCAGC
rnacentral:misc_RNA from 1 species